AUGAUUCCUCUUUGAAGAACACUAGGCGUGCAUGUUUGUGCGCAGGAGCUUACUUCUUUCCCUGGAAUGAAGAACCGCGGCCUCUCGAAUAUCACUUUUCCUCGGUCAAUUAUCGUGACUGAGCAGCUGCUUGGGAGCCUCUUCAAACAGUAUUUUGCGAGGGAUGUGGACAAACUAAACCGCACACGACAAAACCAAAACAGCAGAAGAAGCAAAGAAGAAAACCACUCAUGGAUGGAAACUUCCCGUCAACGCGUGUUAAAUGGGAGUGGUCGCUUACCCAGUCGGCACAAAUCUGCUGGUACCGAGGAUCAAUUUCGUAGCGUCCUCCAACUUGGCAGCAUCCACCAGGCACUCUUUAACACUGGCUCCAACAACCACUUUAAUGUCCAACUUGAUCUGCGACACACAAAGCAAAAGCAGCAAAGACAAGAGUGAGGAAAGAAGAACCAUUAAAAUUUUGGUGUGAGAGGCCCUGGUACACUCCUAAAACACCUUGAAAGGUCUCGUCCAGUUCCUUUCUGGUGGCCGGAUCCAGCUCCGAAGACAGUGCUGCCAAAACGUUACAAAGUUUUACAGGGUUUUUCGUAUGAAAAAGAUGGGCCACGAAGAAGUUUGAGAUUGAAAGAUCGAAGAAAAAUGGAAUUUUGCUUACCGGUAGAGGAGGAAGAUUGGAGGACAUGAACAGCAAUGACGUGAUCUCCCGGGAUCGUGAGCCUUGCGACUAUCCAUGUCAAGCGCUCACGGCACUCGGAGCUCAGCUUCAUACCAACGAGAAGAAUUCGCUUUGCGGGUGAAGAAGAAGAAAUCUUCUCCAUUUUCCUUACCACCACCUUGUUCUUCUUCUCCUUCCUCUGGAAGAAAUCGGCCACAUUGCAAGUCGCUCCUCGCAAAUUCUCCCUUC